AGGCGUGUAGCUCAGUGGGAGAGCGUUGCCUUGACGUGGCAAAUGUCAGCGGUUCAAUCCCGCUCUCGCCUA
rfam:Mucispirillum schaedleri ASF457 genomic scaffold acYAd-supercont1.6, whole genome shotgun sequence.